GGUCUUCGGAUUGUAAAGCACUUUAAGUUGGGAGGAAGGGCUGCCGGUUAAUACCCUGCAGUUUUGACGUUACCGACAGAAUAAGCACCGGCUAACUCUGUGCCAGCAGCCGCGGUAAUACAGAGGGUGCGAGCGUUAAUCGGAAUUACUGGGCGUAAAGCGCGCGUAGGCGGUUUGGCAAGUUGGAUGUGAAAGCCCCGGGCUCAACCUGGGAA
rnacentral:rRNA from 1 species